AAUAUCUGUUAUAAACCAAAUAAAUUUUAAUUUUAUUUAAUUUUGUAUAAUAAAAUUAUUAUUAUUCAGAAGUUAUUUAUGUAAAAUUACUUAAAACUUUUCUAAUUACACAAUAUCCAUAAAUUAUAUUAAUCUAUAUUAUAUAGUGGGUACAAUCUUACUAUUUAGUAAUCUAUGUUCAUUUCUAAAUAACAUCUAAUUUAUAAUAGAAUAAAAGUUUAUCUAGGACCAGGAUUAGAUACCCUGUUACUAAACUUAAAAUUUUAAUCCUAAUACUAUAAUAAAAUUAUAUAAGGAAAAUAAAGUUUAAAAUUAGACUUCCUUUAAAAAAAUAGUUAAAUAAAUUUAUUUGAGUAGUAAAAGUUCAGCUUCAAACUCAAAGAAAAUUGGCGGUGCUUUAAAUUUUCAGGGGAACUUGUUAAUUAAAUUGAUAAUCCACAAUAUACCUUACCACCAUUUGAAUUUUAAGAAUAUAAUUUCUGAUAAUUUUUCAGUCUAUGUACGGCUGUCUAGAUUCUCUUUAAGAGAAAAUCUUUGUUUACUUAAAUUCUAUAUUUUAGUUAGCUUAAUUUAAUUUGCAUUAAAUUUAAGUAAUAUGUCAAGUAUAUGUGUAGCUAAUAUGGUGGGUUAAAAUGAGUUACAAUUUAGAUUAAAUUUAAUUUUUGGAUAAAAACAUUUAUUCAAAUGUUAUUUUCCAAAUAUUACUAUAAAUAUUUAGGACAUAUAGAUUAUUUUAACUAAUAACUAAAUGUAAAUUUACUUUAUCCUUUAGUGAAAAUUCUAUUUAUAGUAGGACUUGAAUGUAAGAUUGCUAUAAUUUAUUUUAAAAAUAACUCUUACGCAAAUAAUUAUUUUUAUUAAAUCUGUAUUAUUUAUAAAAUAGUAAAUUUAGUUUUAGACAAAGCAUCUGAAUAUAUCUUAAGGUGUGUACAUAUCGCCCGUCGCUCUUCCUGUGAAGACUAAUGCUGAUUAAGAAAAAAUUGUUAUGUUUAAUCUAAUAUAAAUUAAAAUUUUAAUUUCUGUUACUAUUUCUUUUUUCUUUUUCACGCUUACUAAAAUUUAAAUAUAUUAUAGUAAGUUAUAA
rnacentral:rRNA from 1 species